AAGACUAUAUUUUCAGGGAUCAUUUCUAUAGUUCUUUACUUGGAAAUGUGUUUCGAAAGUGUUUGUCUCCCAACCCAUGAUGAUGAGCUAUGAUACUCCUUUCUGAGAGUGAAUUGAGGACAGAACUCUGGCUUUGUUCACAAGCUCUGUUGUUGAUGAGCGUUCAUAUUGUUUUUUUGGCAAUGUUGAAGAAAGGAGUAUGAUCUGAGUGGU
ensembl:snoRNA U3 Small nucleolar RNA U3